AAACCUGAGAAACCCGAAAGUUCGAAUGAAAAGAUUCAAUAUUCUUCAAUUGGUUGUACAUUUACUUAGUGAUUAUGUGAUAGUUUUGUUAAUUUCUUUAUCCUUUACCGGAUUUUGAAUGUACAUAUUCUACACCACUUUGUUUAUGAACUAAAUACAACUAUGAAGGUAUGCACUUCUUUUCUAGUAGGACGUUGCGACCCAUUGAAUGUUAAUCUACGGCUACUCGUUAGAGCCUAUUCCUAUUUUACUUAAUUGUAUUUAUGGGAAAUAGAUUUCUGAGUGUGUCCCGAAUAACUGUUCGAUGGUAUUAUAAAACCAUAAUAUUGGAUCGCCACUUGUGGGCAUUUGGUAUUCAUUCAAGUAUGUAAGGUAAUUUGAAUGUCAGGGGCUCUUGUACUGGCUUUGAAUCCUAACUACUGUUCGAGUGAAAUUACUAUCAAAUAGUAUCCUUUUAUUGGUCAGCAACGCUGUUGCUUUGGGUACUUUCAGGAC
rnacentral:rRNA from 1 species